rnacentral:rRNA from 1 species
GACGAACGCUGGCGGCGUGCUUAACACAUGUAAGUCGAACGGAAAGGCCCUGCUUUUGUGGGGUGCUCGAGUGGCGAACGGGUGAGUAACACGUGAGUAACCUGCCCUUGACUUUGGGAUAACUUCAGGAAACUGGGGCUAAUACCGGAUAGGAGCUCCUGCUGCAUGGUGGGGGUUGGAAAGUUUCGGCGGUUGGGGAUGGACUCGCGGCUUAUCAGCUUGUUGGUGGGGUAGUGGCUUACCAAGGCUUUGACGGGUAGCCGGCCUGAGAGGGUGACCGGCCACAUUGGGACUGAGAUACGGCCCAGACUCCUACGGGAGGCAGCAGUGGGGAAUAUUGCACAAUGGGCGGAAGCCUGAUGCAGCAACGCCGCGUGCGGGAUGACGGCCUUCGGGUUGUAAACCGCUUUCGCCUGUGACGAAGCGUGAGUGACGGUAAUGGGUAAAGAAGCACCGGCUAGCUACGUG